rnacentral:rRNA from 1 species
UACGGAGGGUGCGAGCGUUGUUCGGAAUCACUGGGCGUAAAGGGCGUGUAGGCGGUCCGCUAAGUCUGAUGUGAAAGCCCGGGGCUCACCCCCGGAAGGGCAUUGGAAACUGACGGACUCGAGUCCCGAAGAGGAGGGUGGAAUUCCUGGUGUAGCGGUGAAAUGCGUAGAUAUCAGGAGGAACACCGGUGGCGAAGGCGGCCCUCUGGACGGUGACUGACGCUGAGGCGCGAAAGCGUGGGGAGCAAACGGG